rnacentral:snoRNA from 1 species
UCUCUAUGAUGAUCAAAGGUUUCUCAAUAAUCAGUUCUGCUUCUGAUCUCCCUUGAAGAAAGCAUUACCAAAGCUUACCAAUUGUCUGAUCU